UCCCUUGUGGCUCAGAUGGUAAAGCGUCUGCCUACAAUGUAGGAGACCCGGGUUCGAUCCCUGGGUUGGGAA
rnacentral:tRNA from 1 species